rnacentral:rRNA from 1 species
AUUGAACGCUGGCGGCAUGCUUUACACAUGCAAGUCGAGCGGCAGCACGGGGGCAACCCUGGUGGCGAGCGGCGAACGGGUGAGUAAUACAUCGGAACAUGCCCAGUCGUGGGGGAUAACACUUCGAAAGAAGUGCUAAUACCGCAUACGUCCUGAGGGAGAAAGCGGGGGAUCUUCGGACCUCGCGCGAUUGGAGUGGCCGAUGUCAGAUUAGCUAGUUGGUGGGGUAAAGGCCUACCAAGGCAACGAUCUGUAGCUGGUCUGAGAGGAUGAUCAGCCACACUGGGACUGAGACACGGCCCAGACUCCUACGGGAGGCAGCAGUGGGGAAUUUUGGACAAUGGGGGCAACCCUGAUCCAGCCAUUCCGCGUGAGUGAAGAAGGCCUUCGGGUUGUAAAGCUCUUUCGGCAGGAACGAAACGGCGAGCUCUAACAUAGCUUGCUAAUGACGGUACCUGAAGAAGAAGCACCGGCUAACUACGUGCCAGCAGCCGCCGCGGUAA